ACAGCAUAUUUUAACUUAAUUUCAAAAUUCCCUUUUAACCCUAAAAGUGAAGCUGCGUCGUCGAAUGUUCAUCGAUGUUCAUCGCACCGCCUUCAUUAUCCCACAGCCUUCAUCAUCUUCAUCAAUGACCGUCGCACAACCCUUCCUCUAACCCUCGUACCCGGCCCUCUCUCUAUCGCCACCUAGCUAUUUCUCAACCCUUGGACCCACCCCUCGCACUAUCAACCCAACCCUCUCAAUCGUUCGCCCUCUCUCUGUCGCACCAUCAACGCAUCGACACUGUUCUUGUUUUGAUUUUAGGCUUUAUUACACGAAAACCAAGCUCGGCACUCCUGGUAUUGAUUAUUGGGUGCAAGUUGAUACUGGAAGUGACCUUCUAUGGGUGAAUUGUUCUGGCUGCUCAUUCAUUACCUUUCUGAUUCUAAAUCCUACUCCCUCAGCAGUCUCUCUCUGUCGCAACCCUCGCACCCUCAAUGUAAGCCUCCUCCUUAGAUUGGCAACCUUGCACCCUCUCUCGCAACCUUCUAUCGGCGCUGCCCCGUCGGUGCUGCUCUAUCGAUGCUGAUCCCUCGGCGUGUCCUCCCUGAAUCGGCGCUGUCUAUCGCUACCUAUCCCUCACUCGGCGCUCAACCCUUGAGCAACUGGAACCUCAGCUUCUUGGCUGCUGAAGUUAUCUGAUGAAAUAGUUUCAGAAUUUGGCGUGAAGCCAACCUGUCCAGCAAGACUUGCAAGAGUCCUGAAACGAAUGCACUCAACACGAAGGGUACUUGAUGGGUACUUGAUGGGUACUGAAUUUGAAAUAAUUGAGACAAGAAUAACACCUAUGCUUGCACAACUCCAAUGUGAGUGUGGCAUUCUGCAAAGAUUGGUCUAUAAGAACAGGAACCAGCACCGACAUUCUUCAUAUUUCCAACAUCUUUUGAAGUGACUGGUCAAUUGUUGACUCUGGAACUGCAAGGCUUCUUGCUUGGGAUACAUGCUGUGACAGAUUUGCUAUAUUGGAAUCAGCAAUUCCCCCAAGACUUCCUGUAUUUCCCAAGGGUAGUUCAUCAAAAAGAGCAAGAGAGGCAGCUGCAGUAGCUUCUUCAGCUUCUGUUCAAGUCUGCAUCUUAUUAUAUGAUGGAACAUCAAAUAUACUAAUGAGAUCUGUUGGUACAUACAGUGAACCGGCCGUGUGCUGCUUCAACCCUCCUUCAUUCUCGCUUAUCACUCCCUUCUAUCCGCUCUUGUGCUUCCUCUGCCACCGACGCACCUUUUACUUCUUCAGACACGAUCACUCCUCCAACCCCUCUCAAGAAACGGGUAGUCUUCGGAGUGCAGCCAACUGGGUCAAUUCACCUUGGAAACUAUUUUGGAGCCAUCAAGAAUUGGGUUGCACUUCAGGUUAUAUAUGUUCCAUUCGGUUGUUGUGUAGUUAUUCAUAGAUUUACAUGAGUUUUUAUGAUAUUCUGCUUAUUUGAUUUUUAGUAAUUUUUCUUAUAAAAACAAAGCACUGCAUCUGAUAAGAGUUUGGUUAGUGGCUUUCUCCUUUCUCUCUUCUUCCUUUUCUUUUUUUUAAAAAGCAAAGAAAACCAUAUACUGAAUUUCGAUCAUAUAGACCUUCUAAAAUUUUUGACCAAGUUAAUCAAAUUUUACAGAAUAUUUUGUAUUCAAUUCAUUAUUAAGAACAGUCAUGUACUUAUCUUGUUGGGGUCCUAACUAAAUGUGAGUAAUGAGAUCUAUUUGAGACAAUAGAGAAGCAAUUUUUCAUCUUUGAUGCUACUAGCUAGGCCAUAAACAGAAGUUAUACCUUAAUUAAUUAGAAUGAGAUUUCUGUCUCUUGCUAUAUUAGGCUUUGUACAAAUUGAUUAUUAUUGUAUAGUCUAUGAAACGAAAUGGAAUGACGAUAAAAAUUAGUAUAUUUUUAAAUGCUACCCUAUCAUGAUUAGGUUUAAUUUCUUUUUCUCUCUAAAAAUCCACUUUAACACUUUUGGAGUCAUUUUCAUAAAUCUAAAUAAGAGACCAAAGAUUAGAGUUCAUCCUUUAUUGUAAAAAGGGAAGGAAAAUAUUUUUUGGCUUACAUACUUUAUUCUAGUAUAUUAAGUAAUAUUUGUCAAAAUAGGAACAUGAUAAAUUAUUCUAGUACAUUAAGCGCUUUAUUUAUUUAUUUAUUCAUUUAUUUAUUUAUUUGAGGUUAUGCACUCAAAUUGUGGGUUUGAGUUAUUAGUGGCUGCUGACUGCUAUUGCUAUUGCUAUUAUUGUUAAACUAUUUAGACUUGUUUAAAGCUAAAAUUCCUGUUUAUAUUAGAGAUGAUAGAAUCGAUGAAGAUGCAUUCAAGGUAUCUGACCACCUCUCUUGAUUUUUUACUCCAUGCUAUAAUACUACAUAGUUAAUUACUUAAUUAUAUUGGUUGACCACAAUGUGAUGUUUUGGGACAAUUUGAACUAACUUAAAUGAGAAAACAGAAAUUGAGAGACAGAGGACGAGGUCUUGGAAUUCUUGUCUCAAAAUUUUUGGAAGACACUAAUGCAUCGUACUCUUUACAGAACCUAAUGA